rnacentral:sRNA from 1 species
CCAUUGACCCAGACCCCUGUUCCCUGCCGCUGGAUGAGGGCUCCUGCACUGCCUACACCCUGCGCUGGUACCAUCGGGCUGUGACAGGUGGCACAGAGGCCUGUCACCCUUUUGUCUAUGGCGGCUGUGGAGGGAAUGCCAACCGUUUUGGGACCCGUGAGGCCUGCGAACGCCGCUGCCCACCCCGGGUGGCCCAGAGCCAGGGGACAGCCUCAGCUCCCUCCCCUUGGGUGCCUCUGCCUGAGCUUCUCUGGGGAAGGUCAGAUGGCUGACGACCGUUUCCAACCUGUCCUCACCAGGUACUGCCCAGGACUGAGGCCCAGAUGAUGAGCCGAGAUUCAGCGUCCCCUGGAGGAGUCGCGGUCUCAGCAGAACCCCACUGUCCCUCCCCUUGGUGCUAGAGGCUUGUGUGCACGUGAGCGUGCGUGUGCACAUCCAUUAUUUCAGUGACUUGGUCCCGUGGGUCUAGCCUUCCCCCCAGGGACAAACCCCCAUUGUGGCUUCUGCCACCCUGGCAGAUGACUCACUGUGGGGGGUGGCUGUGGGCAGUGAGCGGAUGUGACUGGCGUCUGACCCGCCCCUUGACCCAAGCCUGUGAUGACAUGGUGCUGAUUCUGGGGGGCAUUAAAGCUGCUGUUUUAAAAGGC